rnacentral:rRNA from 1 species
ACUGCUAUCGGAUUGAUACUAAGCCAUGCGAGUCUUUGUAGCAAUACAAGGCGGACGGCUCAGUAACACGUAGUCAAUCUAACCUAUGGACGAGGAUAACCUCGGGAAACUGAGAAUAAUACUCGAUAGAUCAUUAUACCUGGAAUGGUUUAUGGUCCAAAUGAAUUUCGCCAUAGGGUGGGACUGCGGUCUAUCAGCUUGUUGGUGAGGUAAUGGCCCACCAAGGCUAUAACAGAUACGGGCUCUGAGAGGAGAGGCCCGGAGAUGGGUACUGAGACACGGACCCAGGCCCUAUGGGGCGCAGCAGGCGAGAAAACUUUGCAAUGUGCGAAAGCACGACAAGGUUAAUCCGAGUGGUUCCUGCUAAAGGAAUCUUUUGUUAGUCGUAACACCACUGAUGAAUAAGGGGUGGGCAAGUUCUGGUGUCAGCCGCCGCGGUAAAACCAGCACCUCAAGUGGUCAGGAGGAUUAUUGGGCCUAAAGCAUCCGUAGCCGGCUUUGUUAGUUUUCGGUUAAAUCUAUAUGCUCAACAUAUGGGCUGCCGGGAAUACUGCAAAGCUAGGGAGUGGGAGAGGUAGACGGUACUCCGUAGGAAGGGGUAAAAUCCUUUGAUCUAUGGAUGACCACCUGUGGCGAAGGCGGUCUACCAGAACACGUCCGACGGUGAGGGAUGAAAGCUGGGGGAGCAAACCGGAUUAGAUACCCGGGUAGUCCCAGCUGUAAACUAUGCAAACUCAGUGAUGCAUUGGCUUGUGGCCAGUGCAGUGCCGCAGGGAAGCCGUUAAGUUUGCCGCCUGGGAAGUACGUACGCAAGUAUGAAACUUAAAGGAAUUGGCGGGGGAGCACCACAAGGGGUGAAG